rnacentral:rRNA from 1 species
GACGAACGCUGGCGGCGUGCUUAACACAUGCAAGUCGAACGGAAAGGCCCCUUUGGGGGUACUCGAGUGGCGCACGGGUGAGUAACACGUGAGUAACCUGCCCUUGACUUCGGGAUAACUUCAGGAAACUGGGGCUAAUACCGGAUAGGAAUCCUUGCUGCAUGGUGGGGGUUGGAAAGCUUCGGCGGUUUUGGAUGGACUCGCGGCUUAUCAGCUUGUUGGUGGGGUAGUGGCUUACCAAGGCUUUGACGGGUAGCCGGCCUGAGAGGGCGACCGGCCACAUUGGGACUGAGAUACGGCCCAGACGCCUACGGGAGGCAGCAGUGGGGAAUAUUGCACAAUGGGCGGAAGCCUGAUGCAGCAACGCCGCGGGCGGGAUGACGGCCUUCGGGUUGUAAACCGCUUUCAGCAGGGGCGAAGCUUGUGGUGACGGUACCUGCAGAAGAAGCACCGGCUAACUACGUG